rnacentral:rRNA from 1 species
UGCUUAACACAUGCAAGUCGAACGGCAGCACGGUACGUAGCAAUACGUAUGGGUGGCGAGUGGCGGACGGGUGAGUAAUACGUAGGGAUCUGCCUUGAAGAGUAGGACAACCCGAGGAAACUCGGGCUAAUACCGCAUGAGCUCUGAGGAGGAAAGGCUGGGUUGAAAGACCUGGUGCUUUGAGAGGAACCUACGUCCGAUUAGCUAGUUGGUAAGGUAAAGGUUUACCAAGGCGAUGAUCGGUAGCUGUUCUGAGAGGAAGAGCAGCCACACUGGGACUGAGACACGGCCCAGACUCCUACGGGAGGCAGCAGUAGGGAAUAUUGCGCAAUGGGGGAAACCCUGACGCAGCGACGCCGCGUGAGCAUGAAGGACUUCGGUUCGUAAAGCUC